rnacentral:lncRNA from 11 species
UAAUACUAAUAAUAAUACAUUGUGUCUUGAGAUUUGAGAGGUGAUACACCUUCUCUUCCUUUCUCGCUGCAGGGAAGACUGAGCGUCCCAUCGUCCCCGAGGCCCCGACGGCGGCCCCGACCCCGGAAGAGCGGGAGCGCGAAGAAGCCCCUUUUGCCACCACGGCUCCCACCUUGAAGCUGCUGGACCACCACCCGCCGCUGGAGAACUUCCUCCACGGGACCCUGCUCAAGAAGGACUACUUCCUGCCCGAGGGACUCCUCGAACCCAGGGCCAAAGUGGAUCCCACCGAGGCUCAAGCCACCACUGACCAGCCAGCCAACUCUAUGGGGCCGGAAUUUGGCCGCACGGAGACACCGGGACCUCUUGGCUUCUCGGAUUCGGGACCAGGGACUCUGUCGGCCACCACCAUUGUGACCACUGUGCCCGCUCCAGGCGGUCCUUGCAGCUGGAACCUGACGGGCCCGAAGGGGUCCCUGGCCUCGCCGCUGCCCUCCGGCCUGCCCUACAAGCCCGGCGUGACUCUGGAGUGUGCUUACUCCAUCUCCGUCUACCCGGGAUAUGGUGUCGAGAUCCGGGUGCAGAACAUCAGCCUCUCGGAAGGCGAGACGGUCACCAUAGAGACCCUGGGAGGCGCAGAUCCCAUCGCUCUGGCCAACGAGUCCUUCUUGAUGCGGGGUCAAGUGAUCCGGGGUCCGACUAAAAGCCCCUUGCCGGCCAAUCCGGGCAGCUUCCACUUCCACUUCGAAGGUGAGCCCAAAAUAACCUCCAGGGGGCAGUCUUGCACCUGAAGCAGGAAGGAGGUAUUAUUCAUGUAUAAUAAUAAUAAUAAUAA